rnacentral:sRNA from 1 species
GUUUGUUUGAUCAUUUCUUCUCUCUUUC